UCUGCCUUGCACUCUGGGAUAGCCACUCGAAAGGGUGAUUAAUACCGGAUAUGACAUGGUCCUGCAUGGGGUUGUGUGGAAAGUUUUUCGGUGCAAGAUGUGCUCGCGGCCUAUCAGCUUGUUGGUGGGGUAAUGGCCUACCAAGGCUUCGACGGGUAGCCGGCCUGAGAGGGUGACCGGCCACACUGGGACUGAGACACGGCCCAGACUCCUACGGGAGGCAGCAGUGGGGAAUAUUGGACAAUGGGCGAAAGCCUGAUCCAGCAACGCCGCGUGAGGGAUGACGGCCUUCGGGUUGUAAACCUCUUUCAGUGCAGACGAAGCGCAAGUGACGGUAUGCACAGAAGAAGGACCGGCCAACUACGUGCCAGCAGCCGCGGUAAUACGUAGGGUCCGAGCGUUGUCCGGAAUUAUUGGGCGUAAAGGGCUCGUAGGCGGUUUGUUGCGUCGGGAGUGAAAACCAGGUGCUUAACACCUGGCCUGCUUUCGAUACGGGCAGACUAGAGGCAUUCAGGGGAGAACGGAAUUCCUGGUGUAGCGGUGAAAUGCGCAGAUAUCAGGAGGAACACCGGUGGCGAAGGCGGUUCUCUGGGAAUGUUCUGACGCUGAG
rnacentral:rRNA from 1 species